AAAAAUUAUUUCUUAGCCUUGAUUGGAUUCUAGCCAGGCAUCCAGUGUUGUAGCUCUCACAUUCUCACUACAUGUAGUAAUAUUUUCCCUGUUUUCAUUGCUACCAUUUCAGUUUGUCUGCACAUCAAAAAUCACAUGUGGAUAGAAAUGGUCUCUUCCCCUGAAGUACUGUACAUGAAUCCUGUGCAAGCUAUACCAAAACCAGCCAUGGUGUUGUCUGAGCCCGAUCCUGCAAAUCAUUUCUCCAGGCAGCCCUCGCAUGCAAGGGAUCCCAGGCAUAGCAAAAAGACUGCGGGUUUGACUGGCUGCAACUAA
rnacentral:lncRNA from 1 species